AUGAGCGGAUCUGGAGAUCAAGAUGCAUUCAAUACAUCUGCAGAUUUGUUUGCGAACAGCAGCUCUGAAACUGUCAUGGAAAGUGUGGAUUUCUCAAUGAUACUACGAGAGCCACACAAGCAGUUCGAAAAACUAAAAGGUGAAAAUUCAAGUUCAUUCUUAAAUCCAGCUGCUGCUACUGAUGUAGCUGACCUAAUAGUUUCCGAAGCAUGUGACACCUUGCGAUUAUUUUGUCCAUUCUGUCUGCUUGACUUUAAGUUUGAUUUCCUUCUAAAAAGUCAUAUUGAAUCUUGUCAUUCUGAUUUGUUGAAAACAAUCACUUGUUCAAACAAAAAUUCAGCGUUGCUCCAUUCUUGUCCGUACUGUAAUGCUAAAUUUUAUUUGCAAGACUUAUUGCCAAAUCACGUGGCACGGAAACAUCAUGAGGCAGUCAUUCAUCUUUGUGACAAAGCAGAUACACCAAAGCAUAUUCAGUGUCGUUUCUGCAGUCAUCGAGUUUUGCGAGAACACUAUAGAGUUUUUUUGAUACAUAUAGAGAAAAAACACUUCAAACAAUUCGAUGAAAUCAUCCGUUCGAAGUGCUUAAUGACCAGUAUUAGCAAUGAAAAUUUCAGCAAUUUAAAUUUCAGUUGCACAAAUCAAAUGGCAUCCCCUCAGUUAAGUGAACAAUUCUCCAAGCUCAUGGCUAACAUUAAUGCUGAAGGUUCACCAGGAAGGAUUGAAAAUCCCUUGUCAAAGUUAGCCUCUAAGCCCAACCAUGACUCGCCCUUGAAAUCUAUUCUUAAAAAUUCGCCUGCAAAAUUGCCUUUAAAUGAAAUAAGUGCCUAUGAUAAUGUUGAUGGGAGCAACAGUAAUGUUAGUGUUCGUAGGAAGCUGAGAUUUGAAAUUCCAGACAAGGAAAAGCGAAGUGAUUCCUCUGGCUCGGAUAGCUCUCUAGAGUCUAUAGUGCAGAAAUCUAAAAAAUUUAAAGUAAGUGAUGAAAACAGUCCUUUGCAAAACUGUAAAUCCAAAAAGUGGUUCAAUUUUUUCAAGAAAAAGCCAAUGAAAACCAAAAAACUCUCACGCAAGCGAAGCAACUCCUUCACUAAUAUAGCUACAAGCACACCAGUGAAUGACGAGAAUGAUGCUCGCCCGCUUUUCCUCUCUCCUAACACGUCGAAUCAAACCCCAAUUUUAUCCUCUUUUAAGUGGAAGGAUAACAAAAUCAAAUUUUUAUCAACGCGGUUCAAGUGCGGACUCUGUAUGGAAGGCUUUAACAGUAACGUACAUUUGGUUGAACACCUGCGAAAACAGCAUCAUGGACUUAAGUUUCAACCACAGUACAGGUGUGGUGAGUGUGAAGCUAAAUUUUACCGGAACAGUUACUUAAUCAGACACAGUCAAAUUCAUCAUUCUACACCAUUUUGUAUGACAACUGCUGAUAAAUCUUUUUAA
rnacentral:lncRNA from 1 species